rnacentral:rRNA from 1 species
CAAUGGCGUAUAUUAAAGUUGUUGCGGUUAAAAAGCUCGUAGUUGGAUUUCUGCUGAGAACGACCGGUCCGCCCUUUGGGUGUGUAUCUGGCUCUUUCUUGGCAUCUUCUUGGUGAACGUUGCUGCACUUGACUGUGUGGAGCGCUACCCAGGACUUUUACUUUGAGGAAAUUAGAGUGUUUCAAGCAGGCAUACGCCUUGAAUACAUUAGCAUGGAAUAAUAAGAUAGGACCUCGGUUCUAUUUUGUUGGUUUCUAGAGCUGAGGUAAUGAUUAAUAGGGAUAGUUGGGGGCAUUCGUAUUUAACUGUCAGAGGUGAAAUUCUUGGAUUUGUUAAGGACGGACUACUGCGAAAGCAUUUGCCAAGGAUGUUUUCAUUGA